rnacentral:rRNA from 1 species
CCUACGGGAGGCAGCAGUGGGGAAUAUUGGGCAAUGGAGGCAACUCUUACCCAGCAAUGCCGCGUGAAUGAAGAAGGUCUUCGGAUUGUAAAGUUCUUUAAUUGGGGACGAAAAAAAUGACGGUACGCAAGGAAUAAGCCCCGGCUAACUCAGUGCCAGCAGCAGCGGUAAUACGUAGGGGGCAAGCGUUGGUCGGAAUGACUGGGCGUAAAGGGUGUGUAGGCGGUGUAGCAAGUUAGCAGUGAAAUACCUAGGGCUUAACUCAUGUGCUGCCUUUAAAACUGCUUUACUUGAGUGCAGAUGAGGAAGGUGGAAUGCGUGGUGUAGCGGUGGAAUGCGUAGAUAUUA